UUCUUUUGAAAUAAACAGGAGUUACUAUAGCUAGCAGCAAAAAGAACUUCAGAUGUGAUUAACUUGGAGCUCUGAGUUUGUGUUGCUGCUUUCUUAGUGCUCUCUUACAUUCUUCUAUUAGUAU
rnacentral:precursor_RNA from 7 species